rnacentral:rRNA from 1 species
GACGAACGCUGGCGGCGUGCUUAACACAUGCAAGUCGAACGAUGAAGCGGUGCUUGCACCGUGGAUUAGUGGCGAACGGGUGAGUAAUACGUGAGUGACCUACCUUUGACUCUGGGAUAAGCCUGGGAAACUGGGUCUAAUACCGGAUACGACCAAUCUCUGCAUGGGGUGUUGGUGGAAAGCGUUAUGGAGUGGUUUUAGAUGGGCUCACGGCCUAUCAGCUUGUUGGUGAGGUAAUGGCUUACCAAGGCGACGACGGGUAGCCGGCCUGGGAGGGUGACCGGCCACACUGGGACUGAGACACGGCCCAGACUCCUACGGGAGGCAGCAGUGGGGAAUAUUGUACAAUGGGCGCAAGCCUGAUGCAGCGACGCCGCGUGAGGGAUGACGGCCUUCGGGUUGUAAACCUCUGUUAGCAUCGAAGAAGCGAAAGUGACGGUAGGUGCAGAGAAAGCGCCGGCUAACUACGUG